GGAGUGGCCCGGAUGGUCGCGGCAGGCGGUUUUUUCGUUCUGUCGAGGAAAGUCCGGGCUGCACUGGGUAUGGAUGCCGGAUAACGUCCGGCGGGGGCGACCCCGGGAAAGUGCCACAGAGAGUAGACCGCCGGACAUCGUUCGAUAAGGACGAAGGGUUCGGUAAGGGUGAAAGGGUGCGGUAAGAGCGCACCGCCCCGCGCGGUAACGGGCGGGGGCACGGUAAACCCCAUCCGCAGCAAGGCCAAAUAGGGAAGCAUCAGGCGUGACCCGCGCCGCUUCCGGGUAGGCUGCUAGAGUGUGCCAGCAAUGGCAGACCCAGAGGAAUGACCAUCAUCCGCCGCUUGCGGCGGAUACAGAACCCGGCUUACAGGGCCACUCCGCUU
rnacentral:RNase_P_RNA from 1 species